AUAUCCGCUGAGUGACCCUUACAAGUCCUUCUUGAUCUGAAGUGGAAUAGGUGCCGCUGUUGCUGCUGGUGUUGAGUACAGAACCGUAGCAGGUCAUGGGGCUGGAGGACGAGCGAAAGGUGCUGACCGGAUCCGGAGAUCCCAAGGAGGAGGAAGAGGAGGAGGAGGAAUUAGUGAUAGGACUGAGGCUUUCAGUGCAUACUGGCAACCUUGGAAGGCAGGAAUGUGAAACUUUCCCCUACUACUUAGCAUCAGAAUUGAAUGGGAGACCCCAUUCUCCCAUUUCUGGCGGCAUUGUGGCUCUGCCAGCUGGCCUUCUGCACGGAUCCCCUAACAACAGUGAGAGAGCAAUGCGAGCAGCUGGAGAAAUGUGUAAAGGCUCGGGAGCGGCUAGAGAUGUGUGACCAGCGUGUAUCCUCCAGGUCACAGACAGAGGAGGAUUGCACGGAGGAGCUCUUUGACUUCCUGCAUGCAAGGGACCACUGCGUGGCCCACAAACUCUUCAACAGCUUGAAAUAAAUGUGCUUACUUCACCCCAGCCUUCAUCACCCGAGCAUCAGGAUAUUUCAUGGUUUUGACCAUGCCAUUUCUUCCUUAUAAGUGUAACUGUGAACCUCAUGGAUUUUGGCUUAGGCAAGUAACUUCUAUGUAGUUAGCUGUGAUUCCUCUUAAUAAAGUCCAGUGAUCUGCAGACCUGCA